UCUAAAAUAGCUUAAUAUAAAAGCACUAACUUUGUAACUUAGAGAUGGGAAUCCCCUUUUAGAU
rnacentral:tRNA from 1 species